GGACAACUGACGAGUCCGAAACAGGACGAAACAGCUGUCCAGUAC
rnacentral:hammerhead_ribozyme from 1 species